rnacentral:ncRNA from 2 species
ACUCAAUCUUAGGGGUGCUCCCUUUUCAACGAAAGAGAGCUGAGAUGAUACCCAUAGACCUGAUCCAGGUAAUGCUGGCGUAGGGAAAAGAGAUUACAAUCCUC